rnacentral:lncRNA from 1 species
CAAACCGCGAGAACAAUCAACGAUAGAAAAAUAGAAUGACAGAGUGGAGGAGACAAGAAUCGGCAACAUGAAAGGGGGACGAAAAGAAAAAGAAUCGGCCUAAGGAUCAACAAUUCGGUAGCAACCAACAGGAACAGAAAGGAGGUGACCGCAAGAAAAAAAAGAAAAAAGAUGGGUAGAGAAGUGUGCAAAACUGAAAAAAGAAAAGAAAAAAAAGAAGUAGCAUAAAUUCACUAGCAAUAUUAGGCAGAGGAAGGAGAGCAGUUGACAGAAAAUUGAGAGAAAACAAAAGCUAAAGCUGAAUUUUGGGAAAAGGAAUCAAUUUCGGCACCACUACUGAUCACCUCUCUUGAUCCACGCCUCAAAACUCUCUUACUAUCCCUCCACAAACCAUCCACUUCCCACCACACCUCAAAUUCUUUAUUUUCCUCCACCAAUCCCACAACUACUGAAAUCUCCCUCAUUAUCCUCCUAAAAAUCAGCCACAACCUCCCUACACUCCUCAAAUACUUAGAAUUUCAGUCAAACUACAACACCCACAUGGCACAAGCAGUAAAAAUAAGUCCCCUAAUCGCAUAGAGAUUUGAACACAAGACCUCCAGCAUAUUUACACUCCACUUAACCACUAGACCAGCAGGCCCAUUCUGACAUAUUUUACCAACAUUUAUUUAUAAGCCUACUGAUUAUAGAUAGGGGUUUAUUCAUUUAAAAACAAAAAUUUACCCAAGCUAAGGCUUGAACUUGGGACCUCUCAAACACUUCCC